UCUUCAGUUCUUUCUUUCCCUUCUGUUGCCUUUGGUUCUUUUGGGGUAUAAUCUUUAGCUUCGGUUCUCUGUAAUAGAAAAAAAAAGGAUAUCUUUGCUUCAUAUUAUCAUUGAAAAUUACGUUAUUCGAAUUUCAAACAAUUUCUCUUGAAGCACUUUUUAUUUAUAUGAGAUAUCUUUCUUCCUCAUGAAUGCUGAUGGGGGGUUAUGAAUGGUUGUUGAAAUUGGUAUAUUUUCAUUGUAAAGAUGGUGAAGAUGACGGCAGGAUGAUAUGUUAUUGACUCGACACUACAUUUGAAAGGAAAUAUAUUCUAGAAUUUGUGGAUGUCUUGGUAGGCUACUUGGAACUGAGAAACCUGUGCCUUUUUUUUGGCAUGCUCUAAUAUCUUUUUAGGGGUUUAGAUCUCCGGCUAAAGACAUAAGUAGAAGCCAUCAGUUCUAACUUCUGAAUUUUAAUUUUUUUUCCAAUAACU